GAACGAUCUGCCCAAAGCAAACGCACCUGGUGCCAGAAGCUUGAAACACUCGCAUUAAAAGUUUUGCUCAGAGACAGCUAAUUACCGCUGGUGCGAAAGUCGCCUGUAAACAAGUUCAGUGAUUUACAGAGCUGCUCCGAGAAGUAAAACAUGGAUUGUCUGAACGGUUCGGUUGGCGAUUAAUAAUGCAUUUCAGAUUCCAUUAAGUGCAUGCAAUUUCUGAGAUCAAGUUUUCUGCACCCCAGAGUAGAAAAUACACUAACACGCUCCACUAGAGGGUAAAACGAGGUACGAGGAAGUGGCUAAAAACAAAGUCCUUCUCCAAUACAGAAUGAUUUGCAAUGUUAAGAAGGCGGAAAAAUCCCCACCAAACUCCGAGUCAACUUUCCUUUCGCUCUUGAAGACAUACGGAGAGUGAGUAAGACUAUGCUAGCAUCCACGCAGUUUAAUUACUACGCAACACAGUUUCAUGGAAACUUUCAAAACAAACUCUGCAUCUGAAACUAAAUUAAACGAAUCACCGUUUUGCUCGGGCAUGUGCUCACGGGUCGCUGGUUUGGGGUAUCGUUUGUCUGCUCAACAGCCUUCCUCAAACAGACAUUCCGGGGAGGUGAAGAGGGGAGGACAACAAAAAAUAAAGAAUUUUAAGAAACCUUGGGAUAAAAGGGGGUGUUUGAAGCAGUGGUUAAAAGUGCACACGCUGAAGCCAUGUUUCAGUGUUUUAACGGGGGACAGAUCCGUGUGCUCUGAAUGUUAGCAAUAAAUCUGAAGAAUUAA